rnacentral:rRNA from 1 species
GAUGAACGCUAGCGGCAGGCCUAAUACAUGCAAGUCGAACGGCCCCGACACUUCGGUGUCGGGGUAGUGGCGCACGGGUGCGUAACGCGUACACAACAUACCCUUUACAGGGGGAUAGCGGCGGGAAACUGCCAGUAAUACCCCAUGUCCUUGCGAGGUGGCAUCAUUUUGCAAAGAAAGUUCAAGCGGUAAAGGAUUGGUGUGCGUCCGAUUAGCUAGUUGGCGGGGUAACGGCCCACCAAGGCGACGAUCGGUAGGGGGUGUGAGAGCAUGGCCCCCCCACACGGGUACUGAGACACGGACCCGACUCCUACGGGAGGCAGCAGUAAGGAAUAUUGGACAAUGGACGGAAGUCUGAUCCAGCCAUGCCGCGUGUGUGAAGAAGGCCUUC